GACGAACGCUGGCGGCGUGCUUAACACAUGCAGGUCGAACGGAAAGGCCCUGCUUUUGUGGGGUGCUCGAGUGGCGAACGGGUGAGUAACACGUGAGUAACCUGCCCUUGACUUUGGGAUAACUUCAAGAAACUGGGGCUAAUACCGGAUAGGAGCUCCUGCUGCAUGGUGGGGGUUGGAAAGUUUCGGCGGUUGGGGAUGGACUCGCGGCUUAUCAGCUUGUUGGUGGGGUAGUGGCUUACCAAGGCUUUGACGGGUAGCCGGCCUGAGAGGGUGACCGGCCACAUUGGGACUGAGAUACGGCCCAGACUCCUACGGGAGGCAGCAGUGGGGAAUAUUGCACAAUGGGCGGAAGCCUGAUGCAGCAACGCCGCGUGCGGGAUGACGGCCUUCGGGUUGUAAACCGCUUUCGCCUGUGACGAAGCGUGAGUGACGGUAAUGGGUAAAGAAGCACCGGCUAACUACGUG
rnacentral:rRNA from 1 species